CAUGCAAGUCGAGCGGGGAACGGAUGGUAGCUUGCUACUGUUUGUUUCUAGCGGCGGACGGGUGAGUAACGCGUGAGCAACCUGCCUUUAUCAGGGGGAUAACGCAUCGAAAGAUGUGCUAAUACCGCGUAAGACCACAGCUUCACAUGGAGCGGGGGUCAAAGGAGCAAUCCGGAUAAAGAUGGGCUCGCGUCCGAUUAGCUAGUUGGUGAGAUAACAGCCCACCAAGGCGACGAUCGGUAGCCGACCUGAGAGGGUGAUCGGCCACAUUGGAACUGAGAGACGGUCCAGACUCCUACGGGAGGCAGCAGUGGGGAAUAUUGGGCAAUGGGCGAAAGCCUGACCCAGCAACGCCGCGUGAGGGAAGAAGGGUUUCGGCUCGUAAACCUCUGUCCUAUGGGACGAAGGAAGUGACGGUACCAUAGGAGGAAGCCCCGGCUAACUACGUGCCAGCAGCCGCGGUAAUACGUAGGGGGCGAGCGUUGUCCGGAAUGAUUGGGCGUAAAGGGCGCGUAGGCGGCCUGCUAAGUCUGGAGUGAAAGUCCUGCUUUCAAGGUGGGAAUUGCUUUGGAUACUGGUGGGCUGGAGUGCAGGAGAGGAAAGCGGAAUUACCGGUGUAGCGGUGAAAUGCGUAGAGA
rnacentral:rRNA from 1 species